UAUNAGAUGGNAAUUUNAGANGUGGNUNNCAUGGNUCCAGNAUUNNAANNGCGGGCGGGCAGGGACGUUCAGCUCGCCCCUUCCCANGNANCGAUGGACUGGUAGCGGCGGACGGGUGAGUAAUGCUUAGGAAUCUGCCUAUUAGUGGGGGACAACAUUCCGAAAAGGAAUGCUAAUACCGCAUACGCCCUACGGGGGAAAGCAGGGGAUCUUCGGACCUUGCGCUAAUAGAUGAGCCUAAGUCAGAUUAGCUAGUUGGUGGGGUAAAGGCCUACCAAGGCGACGAUCUGUAGCGGGUCUGAGAGGAUGAUCCGCCACACUGGGACUGAGACACGGCCCAGACUCCUACGGGAGGCAGCAGUGGGGAAUAUUGGACAAUGGGCGCAAGCCUGAUCCAGCCAUGCCGCGUGUGUGAAGAAGGCCUUUUGGUUGUAAAGCACUUUAAGCGAGGAGGAGGCUACUUGGAUUAAUACUCUAGGAUAGUGGACGUUACUCGCAGAAUAAGCACCGGCUAACUCUGUGCCAGCAGCCGCGGUAAUACAGAGGGUGCGAGCGUUAAUCGGAUUUACUGGGCGUAAAGCGUGCGUAGGCGGCUUCUUAAGUCGGAUGUGAAAUCCCUGAGCUUAACUUAGGAAUUGCNAUUCGAUACUGGGAAGCUAGAGUAUGGGAGAGGAUGGUAGAAUUCCAGGUGUAGCGGUGAAAUGCGUAGAGAUCUGGAGGAAUACCGAUGGCGAAGGCAGCCAUCUGGCCUAAUACUGACGCUGAGGUACGAAAGCAUGGGGAGCAAACAGGAUUAGAUACCCUGGUAGUCCAUGCCGUAAACGAUGUCUACUAGCCGUUGGGGCCUUUGAGGCUUUAGUGGCGCAGCUAACGCGAUAAGUAGACCGCCUGGGGAGUACGGUCGCAAGACUAAAACUCAAAUGAAUUGACGGGGGCCCGCACAAGCGGUGGAGCAUGUGGUUUAAUUCGAUGCAACGCGAAGAACCUUACCUGGUCUUGACAUAGUAAGAACUUUCCAGAGAUGGAUUGGUGCCUUCGGGAACUUACAU
rnacentral:rRNA from 1 species